GAGGCGGAACGGGCCGCGCGGAGGGACAAGAGACUCCUCCCCCGACGCAGAUACCGAACGCGCGCGCCCCGCUCCGGCAGGGACGGGCCGGAACAGCCUCAGCCCCGCCCACCUCACGUGGCGGGGAACGUCCUGGUUGUUGUGAGGCGGAAGGGCCUUGUUUGGGAGCCAGGUGGCUAGGUUCCUGGAAUACUGCAGGCGGGACGCAGGGGGGCUCAAGUUAGUAAAGUGUUACUUUAGGUUUUUGUAUUGUCAAUAGUGUUUCAGAGCAGUGUUGAUCAAAUUAACUACUUUUAUUUUUCUUGUACCCUUCAUUUGUUUUUGGGGGAGGAAAGGGGGAGGAGAUGUGCCUGUGCCUGCGAUUAGUAUCUCUUCUUCGCUCGCUAUUAAGGAGCAGUCCGUAGUGAAUUAUGUUAAUUUUUAUAUGGACACAGAGCAAUUGUACCUUUUGGGUGACAAAUGGGAGACAGUACUGAAGGGAAUAUUGGCUCUAUCAAGUAAUGAAAUAGGAACAUAUGAUAACAUGCAUAUAUAGCUACCGAUGAAGCAAAGGGCACCUUUAUUUUGCUUUACUCUGCAUUGAAAUCAGUAAAAGGACAUCCUGAAAUAAGAGAAGAAUAAGGAGAAAUGGGGAUCUGAAACAAUAAAAGGUAAAACGAAUUGAAAAAGUAAACAAGCUGGGCUUCCUAAGGAUCCUCAGUGUGAUUCUCCCUCCACCACACUGUCUAGAGCUUUGGUGGAAAGAGGACCCUCUCCAGCCAUCCUUCUCAGAGUGUGAGAUCUGAAACCCUAAAGUCAAAGGACAAGGUCUAAUUUUGGCUUUGUGUUGUCCUCUCAGAGAAAGACAAGAGAAUAUGGACUUAUUUGGGAAGAUGGAUGACAUAUUAUACAAUUUUAUGAAUUCCUCACAAAGGUUAAACAUCCACUAUGUGCCAUGGACUAUGUUAAGUGGGUCCAUUAAAGCAGAGACAAUGUAUCCCCAGUAAGGAGCACAGUACUUGACACAUGGACCAACUACUUAAUCAGCUCUGGAAGUAGCAAGCAGAUAUGCCUGGAGGGCCUCCAAACUGGCCUCAGUCCAGACCUAAUUAUCAUCGAGGAUUUCAGUGUUUAAAGAACAACCAGAAAUUUAGGAGGUGCACUGAAGUGCCCUACAAUCCUCUCUGCCCAGAGAGAAGAAUGAAGCAUGAAGCCAAGAGAAAGAAAAGGACCUCCCUGCCUCCUCACAUACAGAUACGUACAUGUACAGAUGAGCAUACGGAAACACAGAUCCCUGCAUCAUGACAUAUAUGCAGGCAUCCGUUCUCAAAGAAGACACACUCACAUCGGAGGAGCGUUGCUGAAGUUCCCACAGGAUUUCCCGUUCCUGGUCCUACUCUCAAGAGAGAACUUCUGAUUUCCAAGAUGGGCAUGGAAUGUGAAUCUGGAGCCACUUGUUUUCUUGGAUGAAGGCCAGACAAAGGUGCAUCACAAUCCCAUAGCAAAGGAUGCCUCCAGUCAUGUUCUCUGACUUUUCUCCGUGAUGAAAACCACUUUCUCUGCCUACCCCACAACAGAGGAGUAAUUUGGAGAUACUCAUGUAAUCAUCACAUGAUCUUAUAAUGGCAGUGUGGAGAGAUGAUUUUCAAGCCUUCAAGAAAUUAUCGCUUUAAGCCAGGUAGGAAAUGUUGAAGACUGCAGUGCAAUGAAUGGGACAAGAGCAGUGGACUAGAAGAAAGAAGAUGUAUGUAAGAGAUAGUUCAUGAUCAAGUAAAUGUGGGGAAAAGGAAGAGAAAGAAUCAAGAAUCACUUCUAAAUUUUUGAUUUGGACAACAUAAUUUGUAAUAGUACCAUUAAGUGAGUGAAAGAUUAAGAAGGGAAGUGGGUGUUAAAGUCCUUUCAUUGUGGGCUAUCGAAGGCCAUGGGUCUGUAGGAAGUGAGAUGACAACAGACAACUGGAAGUCAGAGGCAUAUGGCUGAAGAGAGAAGUUCAAAAUGGAUACAUAACUUGUGAUGAUAGGCUGUUCGUAAUUGUUGAUUCCAUAUACUUGAAUAAAAACAAUCAGGGGAUAUGCAAGGUGAGGCCUUCCAAGCUUGGAUCAAGGCAGAACGAAGAGUUGGAUAGAUUCUCCUGUUUCCCACACAGAAACCCAAAUCAAUGGAUCCAAGUUCAGCCCCAAAUCCACUGAAACAAUGCAAAAUUAAGGAAACAAGCCAGUGUACAAUAGUUUAUGUGUUACACUGACUGUCAUUUUUUGAUUUAGUAUUUGUAAUAAAUGUAUAAUCUGUCAAAUAUAUUGUUUUUAAGUUUUAAUUCAAUAUAUACAGGGGAUCCAGAUUUGCACGUGCGUCAAAAUGAAUCUUCUCGAGUGAAUGAUUUUGAAUGGAAGCAUCAUAAAUAACCAGCACUAACUAUUGCACAUUUAAAUUGAAUUCUUUUAUUUUAAAUAUUCACAGUACAGGAAUUCAUUAAGCCUGAAUAGAACAUCAUUAUUUACACAUCCAAGGAAUAACUCCAGUGGUAAAUCAGUGAAGUACUUACGUUGAAUAUAGGAAAUAUGAUUGAAGAAAGAGAAUUCUUCUUACACAUACAGGCUCAAACCCUUUAUACAUUUAUUUCUGCCUUGGGAUCUUAGCAUGGAUCAUUGAAGUCACUAUUAAUUGCUGAACAUAAUUUCAAAAAAUUAUAACAAUAGCAAUCAUACCAUAUAUUUAUAUAAACCCAGAAAGACAUCAAUGGGCCAGAAUCCACAUUACGAUGGCAUUUUUAAGGGAAGGAAAUUUCAAAUGACAUCUCCAGUUUAAUUUGUGGAAAACACAAGUUCUUCAACUAGCUGAAUAUACAGAUUUCCUAUGGCAUUUUGCUUUGCAUGGCUUAUUAAAAUAUUUGCUUAGCUGCCAUAACAUGUUAUGUUAUUUACAAGUUGAAUCAACGAAGGGAACAAUGUGUAGCAAACUAAGAGCCCAGAGCAAUGUUCGUUGAAUGCCAUACACAUAUAACAUCGUGGUCAGUGAAGGUGGCCUCCACACUGCCAGCACUGACUACUCAACAUUUGGAUUAAUGAUUUUCUCCAGGCUAUAGCAAGGAUCAGUUGCCUGAGUUUCAGCUUUUCUUACUGUUAUAGUAACUUCACUGAAGCUGUUCAAAUUGAACUUGAAUGAACCAAACUUGUGUAAAUAAAUAAAUAAAUAAACGUAUAAAUAGGAUCCCCACUGUUUUAAUCACAUGGCAACAAAAUUACCUUCCAAUAGUAUAAAUGCUUAUAUUGGUGUUUUAAGUCACCUAGUGCUAUGUUCUAGUCUUACUAUAUUAUGAUGAAUAACUAAUUUCAUUUGGGAAGUGGUCAUUGGUCCACAUAUAUUAUCUGUUUAGAAUUAAGCCCUUUCAAAAGCACAAGUAUAUUUUCUGAAAAAGAACACAAAACAGAAACAAAAACAUAAACAAAACUUCACUGAAUGAAGUAAUUUCUGUUCCCAAAGACUACUGCAAAUGAUCAGCAUGUGGAGGCUUGGUGUUAUUCAGCAAAAUUCGUAUUUUCUGUAGAAUCUCUAUUUUUUUUUUUUUUCUUAAAACCCAAGUUACUGAGAAAAAGAUUUUUUCCCCUCUUCUGCCAAGCACACUGAUUGGCUGUUCACACUGCCUGGAUGUUCUACAUCAUUGCCCAACUUGAUGUUGUACAGACAUGGCCUCAAGUGUUUAGCAUUCCCACACCUCCCACCAUACCCCCCCGACCACCCCUGGCAGUAGUACUGAUUUUGGCAGUGUAAAAAAACAAAAGACACACUAUUCUUGAUUGUAGAAAAAGCUGCCAGAAUAUUGUGUUCAUAGUACGGAACUGAUUGAGAUAUUUUUCACAUCUUCAUGCUUUUAUAAUAGUAAAUUGCUAUGCAGUAAAUUGUGUCAUUUGCCAACAAAUGAUUUUAUUUGUUGUAUUUUAUUGCCAACGAGAGAGUCCAAGAAGAAAAUUGGGGAGGGGGGGAUUUUACCCCAUUAUGCUGCCAAGUUAGAAAAAAAGCAAAGCAGCAUUGUCUAUUGGCUCAUUAGUACUAACAUUUUCACUUUACUCAAGUUUAAAAAGAAUUUUUGAAAGGAUGUGAAUCAUGCACACAGAUUGAGAUGAAUCCAAUGUAUGAGCUGGCAGUGUAAAUGCCUCUCUAAAGUUGCAUGAUUCACUAAUGGCAUGCAUUUUUUCACCUAAUAUAACACAACCUUAAUAUCUUCAUAUAAUUCCUAACACAUUUUAUUUCAAACAUGCACUGGCUACUAAAAUAAGAUUUUAAAGAAAAGCUGAUGUUUGAUAUAAAAUAAUCAUGUCUUUUCAAGUGUGGAAAAAUACUCUACAAAAAAAUAAGUAGAAAAGUGGUUUCUGAUCAAUGUGUGAUUUUAUCUAUAAAAAUUCAGAUGACUAAUUAGUGUGCUUACAACAACCCUAUGGGGUCUGCAUUGCAAUAAUACACAUACAGAAAGUUAAUAGCAUUAAACAACUAUUAGCACAAUGCAAUUAAAUCCUUAUCAGAAAUAACAUGAACCUAUAAACUGUACAUUUGGCAUUUAGGUUUCAGAAUAUUUUUAAGAGUCCACUUAAAUAUGACAAUACAAUAGUGCAAAAUCACAUUACAUUAAGAAAACAUACAAUUAUCACCCAAAUGGUUUAUGGAUUACUGACCCUUACAAUUCACAUAUUGGCUAGAAUUGGCACAUUUUAUUUCACCAUGAUAGUUUUGACCUUCUUUACUUGAGUGUACAUUAUUUUAUUCAAAGUUACACUUGAACUACAUAGAAGAAGUAUAGGCAUAUGUGUGUGUGUAUGUGUGUUCUUGAGGAAAUGAGAGAAGAGAAAGUAUGUAAAGUCCCCACUCUUUAUUUGCAAAACUCCACUGCAUUUUUUUUAGCAACCAUUUAAUUAGAGUUCCUAAGGAAAUUGCCUGGUAACUAUUUUAUCUUCUUUCUUAUGGCUCCCAGAGCAGUGACAUGGCCACAUGGAAGAGAGCAAGGAGGAAAGAAGGAAAAUUCUAGAAGAGUAUAUGGCAGCCCAUGCUCCGUGCCAGGCUAACUAAACCAGAAUGUCUAAUCAAGAAAUCAAGAUUUAUGAAGUGACUGUAAUGUAAAGUCUACCACACUGUUGACACAUGAGAUGUCAGUGACCCCUCCCCCCCCCAAAAAAACCUAGUGGAUUAUGCGAUGGAUUGUGCCACCUGAAGCUUGGGUUCGAAUCCUUGGUUUACUACUCUUUUCUUCCUUUCUGCAGCUUUGUGAAACUUGAAUCUACAUUGAGACUUGUUAACUCUUUACUUUUUCCCUUUAAAAACCUCUAUUAGGUUUUUAGAUUGUUUUUAGGUUGUUUUAGAUUCAGAAUAAACCGCAUUAUUCCAAUGAUUAAUCUCAAUAAUUUCUCUCAAAUU